rnacentral:rRNA from 1 species
GACGAACGCUGGCGGCGUGCUUAACACAUGCAAGUCGAACGCUGAAGCUCAGCUUUUGUUGGGUGGAUGAGUGGCGAACGGGUGAGUAACACGGGAGUAACCUGCCCCCUUCUUUGGGAUAACGCCCGGAAACGGGUGCUAAUACUGGAUAUUCACUGGUCUUCGCAUGGGGGUUGGUGGAUAGGGUUUUUCUGGUGGGGGAUGGGCUCGCGGCCUAUCAGCUUGUUGGUGGGGUGAUGGCCUACCAAGGCUUUGACGGGUAGCCGGCCUGAGAGGGUGACCGGGCACAUUGGGACUGAGAUACGGCCCAGACUCCUACGGGAGGCAGCAGUGGGGAAUAUUGCGCAAUGGGCGCAAGCCUGAUGCAGCGACGCCGCGUGAGGGAUGGAGGCCUGCGGGUUGUGAACCUCUUUCGCUCAUGGUCAAGCCGCAACAAUGGUUGUAGUGAGGGUAGUGGGUAAAGAAGCGCCGGCUAACUACGUG